rnacentral:lncRNA from 1 species
AAGCUGAUGGCUUCUCAUUUGGAUAUUGUCCUAUAACUUUCUGAGAGCAAUGGAUUAUAAUUAAAGUAUUUUUAUUAUCAUCACAAAAAUAGAUUUAGACAAUGUCAGUGAUUUUGUAUCUUAAACAAGAUAGCUUGUAAUUUAGAAUCCACCCUUUUAGUUUAUGAGACACCACUGGAAUGUCAGUAUUCCUCUUACAGUAAAGAGUGGCAACACUGAGACACAGCAAAUUUGGCAGUAAACAUAUUGUCUUCAAAUUUUGAAAAUAUAUCCAAAUAUCUCUUUCAUUCCCCUUAUGGGUAUAUUAAGUGCUGUCAGUGUACAAUACAAUUCUAAAUGUUCAAAUCUUGAAAGAAAGACUGUGAAUUUAAAGAAGUACUGUGUGGAGCAGAGAAAGUAUAUUUUGUCAGUUAUGGUGGUGGCAUGGCAAAUGGACCUCAUUUGAAAUGUAUCAUACCAUAGAAACAUCUUAAGGUUUGGGUAGCUAUAUUGUGUUCUUUGGCAUGGGUCACUGACUGAAUUUGCAGUGAAAUUUUUCAGGGCCGAAUGCAACCAAAGUAACUGCAUCCCUCAGGGAAAAUCAAAGAGACGAUUUUACAAGACUGACCUCUAAAGAGUUGGUAGAUUAGAUAUAGAAAUUGUCCUGGAAGAACUCAGAUAUGCUUCUGAAGUUUCUCUCCACUCUCAAAUACAUGUCAUCAUGUACUGGGAGGUGUGAAUGUGGAAAACAAAAUACAACACACCGUGUUGCUGUGGAAUUUGUGCAGUACAUGUGCUAUUAAAAAAUUCAUUUGCCAGGCACGGUGGCUCAAGCCUGUAAUCCCAGCACUUUGGGAGGCCGAGGCGGGUGGAUCACGAGGUCAGGAGAUCGAGACUAUCCUGGCUAACAUGGUGAAACCCCGUCUCUACUAAAAAUACAAAAACUAGCCGGUUGGGCAGCCUGUAGUCUCAGCUACUGGGAGGCUGAGGCGGGAGAAUGGCGUGAACCCGGAGGCGGAGUUUGCAGUGAGCCGAGAUCACGCCACUGCACUCCAGCCUGGGAGACACAGCGAGACUCCGUCUCAAAAAAAAAAAAAAAAAAA